rnacentral:lncRNA from 1 species
UAUAACAAACACAUGCCUAGACUGCACCCGGUGCUAAUACUCUGAUCCCCAAAUCACACCUAAGAUGUACUAAAUCAUCUUCAGCAUCCUGAUCCAGGUAAAAGAGCCUCCACAUGUGCCUGAGCAACUCCCCAGUACAAAACCCACCCCAAUGAAGAAAUGGAUAUGCCUUGUAUAUAGUCUGGCAGCCCCAGGGGAAACGUUCAUGGGCUGCACAAUUUAGCCUUGGAAAUAGAGGAUGACAAGAAUACUGAUGCUUCAUAAUUGAAGGCCUGGUUGGAGUAUGCGGCCAGCCUUAUCCAGGUUACCCCACCUGAACAUCCUCCUGGGAGGAAGCAGGGCAUGAAUCCGAAGGAAUUAGUGAAGUCCUUCCAUAGCCAUCCUUGAUGGUGGAGCGGGGGUGUGUCUCAGCAAAAAGGGCUGAAGUAUAAGGUGCUGGGACCAGUUGUCAGUAAAGGCAGUAUGAUUCAAUGAAUCAAUUAAAUCAGGAUGGAGAAGGGAAGCAAAAAGUCCAAGCCAGAUAAGUGGAACUACCCAUGAAACUGGAGGGUGUGGUGAACAAAAGCAAAAUGAUUAGUCACAAGGUCAGGAGCAAGUGGCCCCAGGAUGAAGAAAGGUAGCUAGAUGGAGGAUGGUUCUCCUCAUUCCGCAGAUGAUGAACUUGAAACCAGUGACACUUUUUGACAGGAAAAAAAAAAGAAAAAUUCUGUGGAAGGCAGCUUCGAGAAGACAUAAUCCAUGUGUGAUUGUUUGAGAGCAAGAAGGGUUAAAAAAGGCAACAACAAAAAACCUGCUCAUUUUUGCUGCUUGCUUAAGAAAAAAACAACUCAAGCCAUCUCCAAAUGUAGUUUAAUCCAUUUUCAGACUUUAUACAUUAUGCAUCAAGAUUUUGUACAAAAGGAAUUUGAGAGGAGUGUUUGCAUGAAACCACUUCAGUGGAUUAAAUUUGCAGUUCAGCACAUUAGACUCAAAAAGUAUACAAGACAUUUUGAGAGUCCCUGACUCCUUCCUUUAUAUGCAUAGUUCCUACUUCAGGUAAAUAAGUUUUUAAGAAUGAGUGGAUUCCAGCAGCUGUCUUUAAGGGAAAAAUUAAGAAAGGAUUUGGUCUACCUUCCACUUAGCUUCACAAUGAUUGCAAAUGUUUGAAGAACAGAAAGCCUAGUUGAGAAGGUGGAUCUAAGCUGUUCUAUGGACCUCGAGAUUCUUUUAGGCAAAGCUGCCCUAUCCAAGGUGGAAAAGCUAAUGUGAAAAGACAUUCUCAAUAGAAGGAGUUCACACAGCGAUGUCAUAACUGCAAACCCCACCCACCUUCAGUUCAGAGUUGAGAUGCCACUUGCGUAGGCCACCCAGAUGGUAAGCUCAGACAGUCAUCCAGAUGUCUUUAUCUAGUGGAGGCCAAACAUCACUGAGACCACAUCUGGAUGUUUAGUGGGCCAACGACAUUUUUAUUUCCUGCUGUUUAAAUAAUAGAUUUGGGGGAUCUUGGAAACGUAGUCUUUAUUUCCUCUUACCCCAGAGUUGCUCUGCUGCAGGAACACACUUUAUGACAAUCGGGUCAAAUCAGAAGCAGCCAGAGAGCCACCCGUUUCUGGGCUGUUAAUGAUGGGAGGUCCUAAACUGACAGGCGGAGUCUGACGUCUAAACAUCAUGACUGUUAUAAACCAGGAGGUGUCCAAACAACCUAUGGAGCACCUGAAAGUUUCUAUAAUAACUUGUAUUUUUUUUUUUCAAGUGUUGAAAACUUCCUAGCAGUGUGGCUGGUUGCCUGGGCUACAGUGUUGUGUUGACAGCUCUGGUCCUUUUCCUGGCAGCCGAGGAUCUGCACAGUGACCAAUGAGAGGGGAGCAUUCUGCUCUGAACUUUCCAUUAGGCUGAUGAUUCACUUUGAAAUCCACACUUUAUGAAUGCUGUGAAUUCAAUGUAAUGUAGCUGUUGAGGUGUCUACAUUCAAAUUUGAUUCCAUUAACUUUACGGUGUGAUUAAGUGUCUGAAUCAUCAGGACUUGGGAUUGAAUUUAUGUGCCUUCUGCGAGCCCUUUUGUAGACUGGUAGUUUUGAUGAGUGUAAUUUGAUGUAUGGGAUUGGGAGAAGAAACCUAAAAAGAUAUCACCUCAAAUAUAACAAGGAUCUGAGAACCCAAAUUUGAGCGUUGAGGUGGGUGGUCACUCUCAGAUGUGCAGAGUGGAGCUACUCUUCAGCAUGCACACUUUUUUCUUUAAAGAACUUGAUUUUUGGUGUUAGAAGGGACUUAGAGGUCCCUUCUAAGGGACCUCUAAAUUUGGCUUUCAAAUUUUAAAGUACUUAACUAUUAAUUAGGGUGCUUCUUAAAAAAAAAACGCCGAUUUCAGAUCGUGCCUUCUGAUUCUGAAGGGCUGGAAUGGGAUGCAGGAAUGGAAUUAUAGACCUCCCUGGGAGAAAUGCUGACUUAGUUGUUUUGCAUUUGGGAGAGUGAUGGGCCUCAUCCAUGGCCUUCCUCACAGCUAGUGGUAAGAGAGUCAAGCCCAGAACUGGAUCUCUAUAUGUUUCCUCAGGGGUCAUUCAUCACGUACUUAGUUCAUGCUCAUGCGAAUUGACAUUUAUGACAUGGAAAUUAUCGGUAGUAAGAAAGUGAAAAGAACAUGGAGUGGCAGAGAGUGUGGCAUAUUGCAGUUUAGCAAAAAUGAGUUCUGAAAUCUCAUUUGAAAAUUUUAAGUUCUCCUUAACACAUAGGGGUUAAAUGGGAGAUGCACAAUGCUUCACAUAUUUGAGUCAAUUUUAGGCAGUUGCUAAGAUAGCAGUGUACAAAAUAUUUUUACUUUUGCAUUUCCCUUUAUAGAUUUCUUUGGACUUAAAUACACUGAAAUUUUAAUUUAAAUUCUCCAUGUAUUUAAAUUCUCCAUGUAUUUAAAUUCCAGAAUUGAUGAAAUUAAACACUUUUUCAUUAUUGCUGACAAUUUGUACUUAUUCUUUAAUUCUUUGUGAAUCAUUUUUCAGAUCCUUUGUGAACUUCUCUACUGAGUUGCUGGCUUUUUUUUUCUGGUAUUGUUUUUAAAUAGAUGUUUUUUAUUAAAGUUAUUAACUCCAUGUCUGUCAUACAAUUCCCUGAAAGUGUUUUUCUGUUUUUUGUUUUAUGUUUAUUUAUGGUUACUUUUCUUUUAUAUGGAGCAGUUUAAAAUUUUUCUACAGAAACAUUAAAAUCCUUUUUUCUGUUCUCUGUGAUGAUGUUUCAUCAGUUUUAUUUGUUAAAGCUCUCCCU